AACGAACGCUGGCGGCGUGCCUAACACAUGCAAGUCGAACGAGAAGUACAGUAGCAAUACUGUAUUGUAAAGUGGCGCACGGGUGAGUAACACGUGGGUAAUCUGCCCUUGAGUUUGGGAUAACCCCGCGAAAGCGGGGCUAAUACCGAAUAAGACCACGGGGACCAACGUCCCUGAGGUAAAAGGUGGCCUCUAUUUAUAAGCUACCACUUGAGGAUGAGCCCGCGGCCCAUUAGCUAGUUGGCAGGGUAACGGCCUCACAAGGCGAUGAUGGGUAGCUGGUCUGAGAGGACGAUCAGCCACACUGGAACUGAGACACGGUCCAGACUCCUACGGGAGGCAGCAGUGGGGAAUAUUGCGCAAUGGGCGAAAGCCUGACGCAGCAACGCCGCGUGGGGGAUGAAGGUUCUCGGAUUGUAAACCCCUUUCGACCGGAACGAAUCUCCUCUUGGUAAACAAUCAGGAGGAUCGACGGUACCGGGAGAAGAAGCCCCGGCUAACUUCGUGCCAGCCGCCGCAGUAAGAC
rnacentral:rRNA from 1 species